GACGAACGCUGGCGGCAUGCCUAACACAUGCAAGUCGAACGGAGAACUCCUUCGGGGGUUCUUAGUGGCGAACGGGUGAGUAACGCGUAGGCAACCUGCCCUUUGGAUGGGGACAACAUUCCGAAAGGAGUGCUAAUACCGAAUGUGACGAUUUUACCGCAUGGUUUAAUCGUGAAAGAUGGCCUCUACAUGUAAGCUAUCGCCAAAGGAUGGGCCUGCGUCUGAUUAGCUAGUUGGUGGGGUAACGGCUCACCAAGGCGACGAUCAGUAGCCGGUCUGAGAGGAUGAACGGCCACAUUGGGACUGAGACACGGCCCAGACUCCUACGGGAGGCAGCAGUGGGGAAUCUUCCGCAAUGGGCGAAGCCUGACGGAGCAAUGCCGCGUGAGUGAU
rnacentral:rRNA from 1 species